rnacentral:rRNA from 1 species
GAUGAACGCUGGCGGCGUGCCUAAUACAUGCAAGUCGAGCGAACGGACGAGAAGCUUGCUUCUCUGAUGUUAGCGGCGGACGGGUGAGUAACACGUGGAUAACCUACCUAUAAGACUGGGAUAACUUCGGGAAACCGGAGCUAAUACCGGAUAAUAUUUUGAACCGCAUGGUUCAAAAGUGAAAGACGGUCUUGCUGUCACUUAUAGAUGGAUCCGCGCUGCAUUAGCUAGUUGGUAAGGUAACGGCUUACCAAGGCAACGAUGCAUAGCCGACCUGAGAGGGUGAUCGGCCACACUGGAACUGAGACACGGUCCAGACUCCUACGGGAGGCAGCAGUAGGGAAUCUUCCGCAAUGGGCGAAAGCCUGACGGAGCAACGCCGCGUGAGUGAUGAAGGUCUUCGGAUCGUAAAACUCUGUUAUUAGGGAAGAACAUAUGUGUAAGUAACUGUGCACAUCUUGACGGUACCUAAUCAGAAAGCCACGGCUAACUACGUGCCAGCAGCCGCGGUAAUACGUAGGUGGCAAGCGUUAUCCGGAAUUAUUGGGCGUAAAGCGCGCGUAGGCGGUUUUUUAAGUCUGAUGUGAAAGCCCACGGCUCAACCGUGGAGGGUCAUUGGAAACUGGAAAACUUGAGUGCAGAAGAGGAAAGUGGAAUUCCAUGUGUAGCGGUGAAAUGCGCAGAGAUAUGGAGGAACACCAGUGGCGAAGGCGACUUUCUGGUCUGUAACUGACGCUGAUGUGCGAAAGCGUGGGGAUCAAACAGGAUUAGAUACCCUGGUAGUCCACGCCGUAAACGAUGAGUGCUAAAUGUUAGGGGGUUUCCGCCCCUUAGUGCUGCAGCUAACGCAUUAAGCACUCCGCCUGGGGAGUACGACCGCAAGGUUGAAACUCAAAGGAAUUGACGGGGACCCGCACAAGCGGUGGAGCAUGUGGUUUAAUUCGAAGCAACGCGAAGAACCUUACCAAAUCUUGACAUCCUUUGACAACUCUAGAGAUAGAGCUUUCCCCUUCGGGGGACAAAGUGACAGGUGGUGCAUGGUUGUCGUCAGCUCGUGUCGUGAGAUGUUGGGUUAAGUCCCGCAACGAGCGCAACCCUUAAGCUUAGUUGCCAUCAUUAAGUUGGGCACUCUAAGUUGACUGCCGGUGACAAACCGGAGGAAGGUGGGGAUGACGUCAAAUCAUCAUGCCCCUUAUGAUUUGGGCUACACACGUGCUACAAUGGACAAUACAAAGGGCAGCGAAACCGCGAGGUCAAGCAAAUCCCAUAAAGUUGUUCUCAGUUCGGAUUGUAGUCUGCAACUCGACUACAUGAAGCUGGAAUCGCUAGUAAUCGUAGAUCAGCAUGCUACGGUGAAUACGUUCCCGGGUCU